rnacentral:rRNA from 1 species
UACGAAGGGGGCUAGCGUUGCUCGGAAUCACUGGGCGUAAGGCGCACGUAGGCGGCGUCUUAAGUCAGGGGUGAAAUCCUGGAGCUCAACUCCAGAACUGCCUUUGAUACUGAGAUGCUUGAGUCCGGGAGAGGUGAGUGGAACUGCGAGUGUAGAGGUGAAAUUCGUAGAUAUUCACAAGAACACCAGUGGCGAAGGCGGCUCACUGGCCCGGUACUGACGCUGAGGUGCGAAAGCGUGGGGAGCAAACAGG